rnacentral:rRNA from 1 species
UACGUAGGGUGCGAGCGUUAAUCGGAAUUACUGGGCGUAAAGCGUGCGCAGGCGGUCUGUUAAGACAGAUGUGAAAAUCCCCCGGGCUUAACCUGGGAACUGCAUUUGUGACUGGCAGGCUAGAGUAUGGCAGAGGGGGGGUAGAAUUCCACGUGUAGCAGUGAAAUGCGUAGAGAUGUGGAGGAAUACCGAUGGCGAAGGCAGCCCCCCUGGGCCAAUACUGACGCUCAUGCACGAAAGCG